CGGAGAUGUGUCUGCCUCAGCUAUAGAAUGGGGAAAACACAAUGAGUUUCAGUAGGAGUAGAUAUAAAAAUUAAUUAUAGGAAACCCACUUCAGGGCAAGUUGCUGAUGAAAAUCAGGAUGAUUUCAGUUGUCUGGAUUCUGGUCUCAGCCUUUGUUUGGAAUCAGAGCUUCUACUAUGACUUUUGGCAUCUGCCUUUCUUUGAUUGGAUUCUUUCCUCCUGCAGAAGAUGGGGACCCUCUUCUGUGACCCUGACUCCAUUGGCUGGUGAGCUGGCGGACUCAACUUUGAAUUCUGGAAGGAAAAGAAGAUAUGAAAAGAAAAAUGUCACGUUUCAGAUCGUCCCCACAAUGACUCAUUUCAGAAGCUGGGUUUCUGUCUCUUUUAAAAACAGAAUCAAUACCAUCUUUCAUGAAAACAACCUUUAAUUCCUCUUCAGCUUCAGCCCAAAUCCACCCUUGUUGGCUCUGUGCAGAACCAGAGGAGGAAGCCAGCAAGCAGUUCUCAUUAUAGGCCUGGUGGGAAUAUCAGGGGGGAGUAGGAGAGGGGGCUUUUUGGAGGGGAAGUUGGAGGGACUUUCUGUUUUCUUCAGGAGGGGCCACCACCACUCACAACCCCCUCGCAACCAGCUUCUAGGCUCUCAACCCACCCAAUAAGCCCAAACACUGGAGGUCCCCAUCUUCUUGGAGCAUCCUGACCCAUGGCUUCCAGAAUGGACCCUGGUACCCUUGAGAGACAUUUGGGUCUCUCCUUCAGCCUCCACUAUAGGGAUAGAUCAGUGGACAGCAUAGGCAAUGGCUUACAAUGUUGUUUAUUCCAAUGUCUCAAUGAUUUUGGCGGAUAAGAAACUCAAACGUCUGUGCCCUGUGUACCAUCUCUUCCAUAAUCUAACAGAUAGUGGAGUGUAGUUAGAAUGUGUGCAUGUUUGGAGCGCUUGCUUUGGAUUUGGAAAAUUAAACACACUUAGGUUCAUUUAUUUCCCCUGUUACCUUAAAUAGUUUCACAGAACGAGAGAAAUGUAGCUCCAAGAGGGAUACUCCAUUCAACACAACCCAUGUUGAGUGUCCUCUAUUGCACUACUGAAGAGUUAAGGUUUGAGCUGUGUUUGAAGAUGAAAAGACAUUUCCCAGAAAGACAAGAUGGAUAGUGUCCUGUGCAAAGGAGCAUUGCAGCCAACAAGUUUGGUCUAUAUGGGAUCCAGCAACUAAUCCAAUGCUGCUGCGGCCCAGGGAACCAGGGAGUGGUAAUGGGCAGGGUCUCGUAAGCUACACUGUGAAGUCCAGACAUUAUUCUGUUGUGCAUGGGAACUCCUGAAAUGAUUUAAGGGCAGUGUGUGUGUGGGGUUCAGCUUCUGAGAUUGACAUUUUAUAAGAAAACUUGAAUCCUCCAGCACAUUACCAUGGUCCCCUUUCUCCAAGGACUUACAAG
rnacentral:lncRNA from 12 species